rnacentral:rRNA from 1 species
UACGGAGGGUGCGAGCGUUGUCCGGAAUCACUGGGCGUAAAGGGCGCGUAGGCGGCGCGGGAAGUCAUCGGUGAAAGUUCAGGGCUCAACUCUGAAUCGGCCGGUGAUACUCUCGUGCUCGAGCACUGUAGAGGCAGGUGGAAUUCCGGGUGUAGCGGUGGAAUGCGCAGAUAUCAGGAGGAACACCGAUGGCGAAGGCAGAUCUCUGGGCCGUAACUGACGCUGAGGAGCGAAAGCAUGGGGAGCGAACAGG